rnacentral:tRNA from 1 species
GGGCCGGUAGAUCAGUGGAAGAUCGCCUGCUUUGCAAGCAGGAGGUCGUGGGUUCAAAGGCUGGCCAGCAGAAUAUCCCACCCGGUCCA